rnacentral:misc_RNA from 1 species
UAUGCCUUCCGGAAUAUCACCAGUGAGGUUGUUUGCCCACAUGACCAAGUCAGAAAGAUUUGGCAAGGUCCAAAUCUCUGAAGGAAUCUGACCAAUCAGAUUGUUGAAACUAAGAUCAAUUCUUUCUUCUCAGGUUUUUGCAGCUUCCAAGCUCUGAGGGCACUUUCCCUGACAGGUAAUUGUUGGCCAGAAGUAACUUCUGCAAUUUAGAGGGGUUAGAGGAGGUGCAGAACUCAGAAGGAACAUUCCCCGUAAAUGCAUUGGAACUAAGGUCAAGCUCUAGCAGCUGAGAACAAUUUGUCAGAGACAAGGGCACAGGACCAGUUAUGUUGUUGAAUGGUACGUAGAGAUAUUUCAGACUUUGAAGCCUACUGACAAUAGUAGGGAGGAAAUCACCUGAAAGGAAAUUGUGUCCGAGGUUUAGUCUCUGCAGAGAAGAACAUGAUACAAAA